rnacentral:tRNA from 1 species
AGGUUGGUGACUGAGUAAAGUGAAGCACUGUAAAUGCUUAUAUGGUCUGUGACCCCAACCUA